rnacentral:tRNA from 4 species
CGGGAGAUGGCUGAGUGGUUGAAAGCGGCGGUCUUGAAAACCGUUGAGGGUCAUGCCUCCGGGGGUUCGAAUCCCUCUCUCCCGGCCA